GUCGCAGUAGCUCAGUCUGGGAGAGCGUUCGACCUUUCCGAUGGCUUUUACGUCGGGAGGGGACGAAGCUGAAGACCGAAAUGUCGGGUGUUCAAAUCACCCCUGCGACA
rnacentral:tRNA from 1 species